rnacentral:rRNA from 1 species
CCUACGGGAGGCAGCAGUGAGGAAUAUUGGUCAAUGGACGAGAGUCUGAACCAGCCAAGUAGCGUGAAGGAUGACUGCCCUAUGGGUUGUAAACUUCUUUUAUAUGGGAGUAAAAUGUUCCACGUGUGGGAUUUUGUAUGUACCAUAUGAAUAAGGAUCGGCUAACUCCGUGCCAGCAGCCGCGGUAAUACGGAGGAUCCGAGCGUUAUCCGGAUUUCUUGGGUUUAAAGGGAGCGUAUGUGGAUUGUUAAGUCAGUUGUGAAAGUUUGCGGCUCAACCGUAAAAUUGCAGUUGAAACUGGCAGUCUUGAGUACAGUAGAGGUGGGCGGAAUGCGUGGUGUAGCGGUGAAAUGCUUAGAUAUCACGAAGAACUCCGAUUGCGAAGGCAGCUCACUGGACUGCAACUGACACUGAUGCUCGAAAGUGUGGGUAUCAAACAGGAUUAGAUACCCGUGUAGUC